UGCUUUGGAAGUCCCUGUAAGGUGAGAGAAUGAAACAAGCAUCUGUGGUUUCCUCAAGGGCAAGGACCAACUGUAUCGGAAUUAUCUUUGUAUCCCCAGUGCCUUCACCAGCACAUGACUGCCUAAUAAGUACCAAUCCUCAACUCCUGUGACAUACCGUCCAUACCGAAACCACACCAGACCACUCACCACUGGCCCUGAAUUACAGUAAGCACGUCCGUGCUGCUGGGCUGGCCUGGCAGGAUCGUCCCUCAGCACUCUCUCUUGUCAAAUCCUUUGCAGGAAAAAUUUCAGCCAAAGCAUGAAUGCAGCCCCUAUCAAGCCAACACAUGUGAUCUCACAAGAUGACAGAUCUGAGGGAUGGAAGGUGAAGGUGUAACUCCGAGUGGGGAGUGUGUGCAUGCGUGCGUGUGUGAAUACGGACAGAUGUACGUAUCUAAGUGAGGUGUACAACAUGAAGGUGCUAUUUCCGCCACAGUCACCUCAAUAAAGUCAAUCCAAUA